AAAAAAGAACGAAGAGAGAGAAGGACCUGUUUGGCAAAAAGCAAAAUUUCAUUGAAAAAAGGCAUAAGAAAAAGGGGAUCCAAACAACAACUUGACACAAAUUCCUUCGUUCUUCUUCUAUUUCUCGAAGAACACUGCAAUACUCUCCAUCCGGUCCACACUCAACCGAAUAGCCCAACCUCCCUCCGCCCAGACCCACUCCAACCGGUCCACUCUUCGACAACCUCUCUUCACCGGACUGCCACCAUCACGCAGACAUCUCUCUCUGUUAACUCAAUCCUGUGCCAACAACAACAACACUUCUAUCUCCACCUUCAAGUGGGUAAUUUCAUUUCUAUCACCAUUUUUUUAUUUUAG